GGAUGCGAUCAUACCAGCACUAAAGCACCGGAUCCCAUCAGAACUGCGAAGUUAAGCGUGCUUGGGCGAUGUAGUACUAGGAUGGGUGACCUCCUGGGAAGUCCUCGUGUUGCAUUCC
rnacentral:rRNA from 1 species